GGAGGAAUACCCAAGUGGCUGAAGGGGUCGGCUUGGAAAGCUGAUAGGCCUGUCAAAGGGCGCUGGGGUUCAAAUCCCCAUUCCUCCGCCA
rnacentral:tRNA from 1 species